AUUGAACGCUGGCGGCAUGCCUUACACAUGCAAGUCGAACGGUAGAGGGGGCAACCCCUUGAGAGUGGCGAACGGGUGAGUAAUGCAUCGGAACGUGCCCAGUUGUGGGGGAUAACGUAGCGAAAGCUACGCUAAUACCGCAUACGACCUGAGGGUGAAAGCGGGGGACUCGAAAGAGCCUCGCGCGAUUGGAGCGGCCGAUGUCAGAUUAGCUAGUUGGUGGGGUAAAGGCCCACCAAGGCGACGAUCUGUAGCUGGUCUGAGAGGACGACCAGCCACACUGGGACUGAGACACGGCCCAGACUCCUACGGGAGGCAGCAGUGGGGAAUUUUGGACAAUGGACGAAAGUCUGAUCCAGCCAUGCCGCGUGCGGGAAGAAGGCCUUCGGGUUGUAAACCGCUUUUGUCAGGGAAGAAAUCUUCUGGGUUAAUACCUCGGGAGGAUGACGGUACCUGAAGAAUAAGCACCGGCUAACUACGUGCCAGCCGCCGCCGUAACAC
rnacentral:rRNA from 1 species